AUCGAUAUGUGUGAAAUCCAUGAGACAAUUAUGACGUCAAACGCAAAUAAUUGUCGUUGUAAAUAUUGAGUUAUAAUAAUUACUUUAAAACAAUGUAAGAGUAAUUGUGAAUCAUGAUAUCUUAUGUACAUAUGAGUACCAAGAGAUGGGAUGUUUGUGAAUUGCAUAGUGUUAAAUCAUGCCACACAUAAUACUGUAGGAUUGACUUUCAUUGAAAUGGCUUAAAAAAGGGAACAAUAAAUGAACGAAACCAAGGAUAUAUUGUUUCCAUUGAGGUAAAAUUCCCAAAUCAAAAUCAAGCAAUAAUACAUGUCAAUACCAGGUAUUUCAUAGACCUACUCAUUUUGGAACAAGUAAAAAUAAUUGGUCAAACUACAUACAGCGUGUCGAAUUUCGCUCCAGACUCAUGAAUUUUAUAUAUUAUAUAUAAUCAUCAACUAUCACAGUCAUAAAGACUAUAAAAGUAUGCUUAAAAAUACAAAGGCCAAAAUCUGAAAAGCUCAGAACGUCCGUUAUCAGACUAUGGAAAGUGUGUGUAAUGUGUAAAUAACCGUCAUAAGCUACAAGUGUCAACAUUAAACUAUCAUAACAAGAAACGUUAUAUACUGUAUGUUACACAGUGUGAUCGUAAAACUAGAAAGGCUUAAUACGGUAUGAUAUAUACCAAAAUAAUAUAUAAUCAUUGGAAAGCAUACUUCAGCCUGUCUUUUAGGUGAAACAUCAUAAAUGGAAAGCAUAAUUCAGUAUGAUGUAAAGUGAAACUUCUUAAUUGGAAAGGCUGUAUUCACUUUUCAAGUGGACCAUCAUGACUGGAAACAACUUAUAGGAUAUAACUAAUCGAAUAUGCUCAUCAUAUGACUAUCGUAAUCGGAUGGGCUCAUCAUCGGACCAUUUCAAACAGAUAUAUUUAUAAUCAUCAGGCCCUCUUAUUCGAAUAGAUGCAUCCACGGACACGACCAAUCGGGUAUACUCAUAAUCAAUCAGGCCAAUUUAAUCGGACAGACUCAUCACUGGACUAUUCUUAUUAGAUAUAAUAUAUAUCGGGCCCUCUUAUUUGGAUCGACUCAUCAACGGACACUGUCGAUUUGAUAUACUCAUCAUCAGACCAUUUAAUAGGAUAGACGCAUCAUUCGACCAUCCUAAUUGGAUAUACUCAUCGUAGGACACUCCUUAAGGAAUGUACUCAUCAUCAGGCCAUCUCAAGGAAUGUGCUCAUUAUCAGGCUAUCUUAAUCGGAUUAACUCAUCAUCGGACACCCCCCAAUCGAAUAUACUCAUUAUCAGGCCAUUACAAUUGGAUAUACUCAUCAUAAGAUGAGCCCAUCAUAUAGCUUUAUCGUCAGAUAGGCUUAUACAGCAUCUGACAAAUUAUUCGUUUAGUGUUAAACAUGAUUAUUUUCAAACAACAAAUUAGGAUAUGUUUAGAAAUAUUCUUAUCAAUGUUACGAUCUACAGACUGUGCAGUAAUUCAAACAACUUGUGCAUUUAAUACCGAGUUUCCUUUUCGGUUCGGUAUGAAUAUAAACACAAUAUUAAUUAAAAAGUCUUAAAUAAAAC
rnacentral:lncRNA from 1 species